rnacentral:rRNA from 1 species
AACGAACGCUGGCGGCAUGCCUAACACAUGCAAGUCGAACGAGACCUUCGGGUCUAGUGGCGCACGGGUGCGUAACGCGUGGGAACCUGCCCUUAGGUUCGGAAUAACUCCCCGAAAGGGGUGCUAAUACCGGAUAAUGUCUUCGGACCAAAGAUUUAUCGCCUUUGGAUGGGCCCGCGUUGGAUAGCUCGUUGGUAGGGUAAAAGCCUACCAAGGCGACGAUCCAUAGCUGGUCUGAGAGGAUGAUCAGCCACACUGGGACUGAGACACGGCCCAGACUCCUACGGGAGGCAGCAGUGGGGAAUAUUGGACAAUGGGCGAAAGCCUGAUCCAGCAAUGCCGCGUGAGUGAUGAAGGCCUUAGGGUUGUAAAGCUCUUUUACCCGGGAUGAUAAUGACAGUACCGGGAGAAUAAGCUCCGGCUAACUCCGUG